GGAGGGAUCAUUAACACGUUUUAAAACACGUUUUAACACCCACUCACCAACCACGUGAACUAUUUAACUUGAAAGGGAGAUGAUAUGUAGCAAUACAUCCCUCUCUCUUCUUUCGAAACACCCCUUUCACCCCUUCUAUAACUAUUGACUGAUCUUUUCUUUGUUGCUCAGCAAUGAGUAUAAUAAGAAAAACCUAAUCAAAUAUCUAAGCACAACUCUUAGCAACGGAUAUCUUGGUUCUCGCAACGAUGAAGAACGCAGCGAAAUGCGAUAUGUAAUGCGAAUUGCAGAAUUCAGUGAAUAAUCAAAUCUUUGAACGCAAAUGGCGGUCUCGGGUUAGUCCUGAGACCACGCCUCUCUCAGUAUCGGUUCAACCUCACCUCGAAUGCGUAUGAUACAUGUGCAAACAUGUGUCAUGCAACCUUCGGAUAAUGAGAGUAAUAUAGCUUUUAAGUAAGCGAGUAUUUCUCUUUAAAUACGUUGAGCUCGGAACAACUAGUAACCCUUAGACGCAAGUCUAAUAGCCUGUUGUGCUAUUUCUCCUUACUAGUGAACGUGGAUAAUUUCAUAUCUUGGCGCAAGCUUUGGUGUGAAUUGAAACGUCUCACACAUGUUUGAAGAAAAUUAUAUAGUGCUUCAGUGUGAACCUUACCUGUCUGUUCUCAUAGCGAUAUUAGAAUUAAUCCAGUAUAAACACUCGUGUUUACACUUUCGAAUUAGAUCUGAGAUGAAGCGAGGAGACCCCCUGAAUUUAAGCAUAUUAUUAAGGGGAGGAAAAGGAACUAACAAGGAUUCCCCCAGUAACGGCGAGUGAAGCGGGAUGAGCUCAAGUUGAUAAUCGGUGAUCCAUGCGGGUCGUUCCGAAUUGUACCCUAGAGACGUGUGAUCAGCGUGUGACCCAGGUCCAAGUCCUUUGGAAGAAGGCAUCAGAGAGGGUGAGAAUCCCGUCCCGAACCUGGAGUUCGCCGCGUACGAUGCAUGCUCACAGAGUCGAGUUGUUUGGGAUUGCAGCUCUAAAACGGUGGUAAGGUUCAUCGAAAGCUAAAUACAGGCGAGAGACCGAUAGCGAACAAGUACCGUGAGGGAAAGAUGAAAAGAACUUUGAAAAGAGAGUUAAAAAGUACUUGAAAUUGCUAAGAGGGAAGCGCUAAAAACCAGUGUGACUGCUCUCAUUCUGCCUAUCCAUCUCUCUGUUUGGCGAUGGUACCUAGUUGGCAACUCUAGGUGCUGUUGUUUAGAUGGAGAGUGGGUGGGUCCUGUGGGAGUAGCGCGUCAGGAUCAGUUCAGACGUGCAGGAGAGGAUGUGGAUAGAAGGUAGGGAUGGCAACAUCCUGUUAUAUCUGUCUCAUUCGACUGUGCUCCGGACUGAGGAAAUAGUAAUGGUGCGCCACUAGGCUUGUACCUCUGUUGCUCUGUAGCACGAAUGGUUUGGAUGACAAUGUCAUGCGGUCGUUCGUGUUGCAUACGCAGUGGAACGUGUCGAUGCACCCAUCACGAUUCUGACUAAAUGGUUUUUAUCGACCCGUCUUGAAACACGGACCAAGGAGUCUAACAUAUAUGCGAGUAUUUGGGUGCAUUAAACCCGCGUGCGUAAUGAAAGUAAAGGUGGGCUUGUCUCACUGAGGUAGGAAUCUUGUGUGAAUAGCAUGAGAGGCACUAUCGACCGAUCGUCACUUGUGAAAGAUUUGAGUCAGAGCAUAUCUGUUGGGACCCGAAAGAUGGUGAUCUAUGCCUGAACAGGGUGAAGCCAGGGGAAACUCUGGUGGAGGCUCGUAGCGAUACUGACGUGCAAAUCGUUCGUCUGAUUUGGGUAUAGGGGCGAAAGACUAAUCGAACUAUCUAGUAGCUGGUUCCCUC
rnacentral:misc_RNA from 1 species